rnacentral:rRNA from 1 species
AUUGAACGCUGGCGGCAGGCCUAACACAUGCAAGUCGAGCGGAUGAAGGGAGCUUGCUCCUGGAUUCAGCGGCGGACGGGUGAGUAAUGCCUAGGAAUCUGCCUGGUAGUGGGGGAUAACGUCCGGAAACGGGCGCUAAUACCGCGUACGUCCUGAGGGAGAAAGUGGUGGAUCUUCGGACCUCACGCUAUCAGAUGAGCCUAGGUCGGAUUAGCUAGUUGGUGGGGUAAAGGCCUACCAAGGCGACGAUCCGUAACUGGUCUGAGAGGAUGAUCAGUCACACUGGAACUGAGACACGGUCCAGACUCCUACGGGAGGCAGCAGUGGGGAAUAUUGGACAAUGGGCGAAAGCCUGAUCCAGCCAUGCCGCGUGUGUGAAGAAGGUCUUCGGAUUGUAAAGCACUUUAAGUUGGGAGGAAGGGCAGUAAGUUAAUACCUUGCUGUUUUGACGUUACCAACAGAAUAAGCACCGGCUAACUUCGUG